AUUGAACGCUGGCGGCAUGCCUUACACAUGCAAGUCGAACGGCAGCACGGGGGCAACCCUGGUGGCGAGUGGCGAACGGGUGAGUAAUGCAUCGGAACGUGCCCAGUAGUGGGGGAUAACUAGUCGAAAGAUUAGCUAAUACCGCAUACGACCUAUGGGUGAAAGCGGGGGAUUCGCAAGAACCUCGCGCUAUCGGAGCG
rnacentral:rRNA from 1 species